GCACUGCUGAGGAGUCCCAUACCAGGACGAAACUGCCGUCCAGUGU
rnacentral:hammerhead_ribozyme from 1 species